UGGGGAAUAUUGGACAAUGGGCGCAAGCCUGAUCCAGCCAUGCCGCGUGAGUGAUGAAGGCCUUAGGGUUGUAAAGCUCUUUCACCGGAGAAGAUAAUGACGGUAUCCGGAGAAGAAGCCCCGGCUAACUUCGUGCCAGCAGCCGCGGUAAUACGAAGGGGGCUAGCGUUGUUCGGAAUUACUGGGCGUAAAGCGCACGUAGGCGGACUAUUAAGUCAGGGGUGAAAUCCCGGAGCUCAACUCCGGAACUGCCUUUGAUACUGGUAGUCUAGAGACCGAGAGAGGUAAGUGGAACUCCUAGUGUAGAGGUGGAAUUCGUAGAUAUUAGGAAGAACACCAGUGGCGAAGGCGGCUUACUGGCUCGGAACUGACGCUGAGGUGCGAAAGCGUGGGGAGCAAACAGG
rnacentral:rRNA from 2 species